AUACUUACCUGGCAGGGGAGAUACCAUUGAUCACAAAGGUGGUUUUCCCAGGGUGAAGCUUAUCCAUUGCACCUCGAUGUGCUGACCCCUGCGAUUUCCCCAAAUGUGGGAAACUCGCCCGCAUAAUUUGUAGUAGUGGGGGACUGUGUUCGCGCUCUCCCCUG
ensembl:snRNA U1 U1 spliceosomal RNA